AGGGGGAGAAGGAGGCCAGGAGCCCAGACAGAUGCCGGAGCCAGAGACAGAGGGACGGAGAUCAGGGCUCUGAGUAGUUCCAGCGAAGAGAAAGGAGGAGAGCUACAGAGAGGUUUAAAUGAGAAAGAAAAAUAUCAGGAAGCAGCCAUUCCCAGAGACGAACAGACAGACUGGACCAAAGGAGAGGGAAAUCAGGACCCUUUCCCAGACCUGGUAGGAACCACCCCCCUCACUUUGAACAGGGCCAAAGGAGUCCAGCCCACUAGGCCCCUGGGGACAGGUGUCUUGCCCAACUGGAGAAUCUCCCCAAGGGCUGAGCUGGGAAACACCUGUCACUCAACCAGGAGAUUUACUGCAACUUCAAGUCCAGCUUGUUAGAAAGUAGAAGACUGUCUACUCCCCAGGUAUGGAGCCCAGGCCCCGAGGCAGGAAGGUGGUGAGUUCAGGCUUGUCCUUUAAAACAGGUCCUAUGAAGAACUGGCUAUAUAUUGUUAUAGAAAUUAGCAGCCAUCCCAACGCACUCUCUUUUGAGAAUUUAAGGAAAGGAAAGCCAAUCCUGAAAAGCAGGCACAAGCCGAAGGAUUAGUUUGGGGUGCACAUGAGGGUGACCAUUCCUCAAGGCACCCCUUUCAUUUUGAAUAAACAGAUGCUCUCAAAGCGAUUCCUGUGAAGCCAGAAUGAGUGGCGCUGGCUCUGUGAGAGAAAGGAGUUGUUUCCUUGCAUUUAGAAUCUUUGGAGGGAGGCCUUGGGUCUUAAGGCCGUGGGGGCUGGGGCUGCUGGGUCGGGAAUCAGGGAAGUGCGUCCAGGACAAAUUUAGGCCUUUUCAAAGUUAUGCCUGUGGCUGCCUGGCUGAGAGCCCACGAGAAAAGAAGGAAACUCCCUUCUUCUGCUUCCUCUCUUUCCCCUCUCCAGUCGGGAAAGGUCUCUUCCCUCUUAGGAGCCAAGCUCUGGAAAAAAAGAAAACAUAGGUUAUGCAUUCUGAUCUAUUUCAGGUCCGUUCCAUGCUUAACCUUCUGGGAGGUCUCUAACAGACAAACCGCUGGCAGGUCAGAGCCAUACUCCUCAGCAGGUCUCAGUGGAAUCAGUUUUGGCUGUGUCUGUCUGACAUUCUCUUGAAGAGCCUUCGUCAGAGACAGGAAAUGCCAUAAAGUAUAUAUAUGCACACACACAUACAUACACACAUAUACACAUAUAUGGCAUAUCUGUGUCUCUCUCCUAAAACAGCCCCAACAAAUCAAACAUGCUCAUCUUGAGUGACUAAUAAAUUAAUGGAGACUUGCCCAACAAAUAUUUGUGUACUUAAAAUGUACCCGGUACUUUCUAGGUACUGGAGAGACAGCAAAGUGUCUCGACCUCAGAAGACCUAGGUUUUAUACAGACAAUAAACAAAGAAGGAUAAUCCAGAAGUCCAUAUUUUGGAUAAGUAUAGAAACUCAGUGGUCUCUCCCUCGGAUAAAUACUCUCCUUAUCGUCAACCAGGGGGGCAAAUGCUCAUUCAAGAUCAGAAAGCGUGAAGCAAGCAGGUAGUUAGCUGUUCACUAAGCAAGACUGAGCUCCAGAUUCUUGUUUCUCACUCAGCCACCUCUAUACCCUGACCCGUAGGCUUCCCUACCUUACCUGGGGAAUUGUCUGAAACCGAUGAGCAUUUUUCUGCCUCUUAUCUUGAGAGAUGUAGAGCAGAAAGCAGCAUGAGUGGUUGCUAUGUGCCACACAGCACAUCCCGCAUUGCCUGAGACCCAUAACAGCCCUGAGAAGCUGAUGGGUCCGGCCCGAUGUAGCCAAAUAAAGCGGAGUGAAUGAAAGCACAGACUGGCCCAUUUGUCUGUCAACUGAUGGACAAAUAAAAUGUGGUGUAGCCACAAAAUGGAGCCUUCUUCCACCAUGACAGGGAAGUGUGUGCUCGCUCAAACCACAAGGAAGAUGGAACUGGGAAAUGAGCUAAGUGAGACAAGCCAGGAACAGAGAGUCACACAGCAGAGCUUUUAUGUGAACUGGCCAAGGCAGAGAACUCCAUAGGACAGAAAGCAGACUUGUGGUUGCCAGGACUAGAGGAAGAGGGGAAGGGACUGUUCCCAGGGCACAGAGUCAUUUCUUUUUGGAAAGAUUAAAAUUCUCUGCAAUUAGGCAGUGCUGGUAGCUGUGAAGCUUCAUGCAAAUUUUGAGAGUCACUGAACUGUGCAUGUUUAAAGUUUGAAUGUAUGAAAUGUGAAUCACAUAUCACUUAAAAAUGUUUAGAUGUAUUUAUUUUAUGUGCGUGAGUGUUUCUGCCUGUAUGUGUACCACGCGCAUGUCUGGUACUUCCAGAGGCCAGAAGAGGGCAUCUGUUUCUGUGGAACUGGAGUUCUGGCUGGUAAUAAGUUACUAUGUGGGCUCUGGGAAUGGAAUCCUGGUCCUCUGCAAAAACUCUACGCUCUCUCAACUGCUGCCAAGCCAACUCUCCAGCCUUCUUUAUGCCACUUUAUUAUUAUUAUUAUUAUUAUUAUUAUUAUUAUUAUUAUUAUUUUGGUUUUUUUCGAGACAGGGUUUCUCUGUGUAGUCCUGGCUGGAACUCACUCUGUAGACCAGGCUGGCCUUGAACUCAGAAAUCCGCCUGCCUCUGCCUCCCAGAGUGCUGGGAUUACAAGCAUGCACCACCACCGCCCAGCCCUUUAUGCCACUUUAAAUAAAAGACAAACCUGUUCAAAGUUCCACAGGCAGAAGAGGGUUGCACUGGGAACUCAACAGUUAAAACUUCUUCUCUUUGCAGCUGAGAACUAUGGCAGAGGGCCCUGGAGCAUCCCUGUGGCUGGAGGCCAGUGGUCCUACGUCUGUUAGUCUAACCACAGUUCUGCCACAUUAGAAUUGGUUUUUGUUUUUUUUGUUUGUUUUGUGUUUUGCAUUUCUUGUUGUUGUUUUGUUUUGUUAGCUUUCUUCAGAGCUACAUCUUUUGCCACUCUGAGGCCCUUGCCUGAAACCACUUCAAUCUUCUCCACACUUUGCCCUUCCCCUCCCACCAAUGCUUUACCUUUCUAGUCCCAUGGGCUUCUUACCCUGCCUCUCCCAACUCCUGACACCUGCUGGCCCACCUCUUAAACUCUUCAUGUGUAGACCAGAGUAGGACAACUCACCCUUGCUGGCCCAGGCAAAAGUUGGCAGAGAUCACAACAACCCACUGGGAUUGUGUGGCUAGCAAAAUCCCACAGCUGAGGAGUGCCUUCCUUGGCUUUAACCUGUGCUCCCAACCUUUCUGUUUUCUGAGUCAAUUUUUAUCCCAAUCCAGUCCUGGAAGGCUGGAGUUCUGCGAGGAGGAGCGCUGUGUAUUUGCUGAUGCUUGCCCUGGGGAAGCUGGGAAGGACCAGUGCUUUGAUGGCACCUCGGUCUCUAGCUAGAAAGAUGAGACCAGAAGAUCUGGACCUGUGAGCUCUGCCCCUCCCUCAAGUCCCUUCUUCUCCCAGCACACAGUUCAUUUGAUGCUCCAUCUGUGUUUCCAGAGCAGUUUCUCCCACCUUUCAGAGUAGCCCUGUUCCGGGAGCAGAGGGAGGGAGAGGGAGCAGCCCUUAGGGAUCACCUGGGAUGGCUCAGGGACCCUUAACCACAGCAGUAAGCAUUCUAUUAGUCCUCACAAUUCCGUGGUGAUGCCAUCUUUGCUUUCCAUCCUGAGCAAACCCAGGCAUUGCAUGCUGGGAAGAGGCAGACUGGACUCCAGUACUGCUUUCAGCACCGCUUGUCACAAGGUACUCCCUCCUGCUGAGCUGGACCCUUGCCUCGGUGACAUCUAGGUGAGUUUCAGACCCUGCUCUCUCUACUCCUCUGGAGGCCACCUGGCAACCACGCCCCCUCUGUACAAAGGCCCUCUUGCCUGCAAAAUAAAGAAGCACCUCCAAUUAAGGAGGAGCAGCUGCAACUGAGGCUGGGGGAGGUGGAAGAGAAAAGCUGGAGUCCCCAGAAGGAGUCCUCUUUGGAUCCCACCCGGCUUCCUCUGGGAGAGACCCCAGAGGCAGAGGUUGUCCUUCAGCUCAGGGAUAUGCACGGAUCCAGCACUGGUUCCCAUCAGGGUGGUAUCACCACAAACAAAGUGCCAGCAAGAUUGCUGGAAGAGGAAGAGGAGUUCUGAGUUGUUUCUGCAGUGGUCACCUGGAGGAGAGGAGGGACAUUGAACGGGCAGAGGACAAAGACACAGAUACCUCACCGGUCAUUGGACUACACCCCAGUUGUCACCUGAGAGAAGGUGACAGUUUUCUUUUCCUACUAGGUCCAUCAAAACUGGGUAGGUCUAGUGGUCCAAACCACAGGAUUUGGAGGUUAUAAGCCAUGGGCGACUGCGACUGCAAAGCUGGAUGUCUGUGGUGCUUGGAGUGGAAGACUGGAAACCGCCGCUCAGUACACACCCCGCUGCAGCAGGAGGGGCUGGAGGUCAGUACUGGAGAGCUCCACGGAACACAUGAGGCUGCAGAGAUAAGAGACAGACAGGGAGGACAUCCUCACUUCUCCACGGCCUCCUGUCUUGCCCUGGUGAGGACUGGAUGUUAAUCCAUCCCCACAUUCUUCUUGGCCUUCGAUCAACAGACCUUCUCUGCUAUGGACCUCUGCAGUGAGGCACUAGGAAGGACUGGGAGCAUGCAGUCUCAGCAAAAAGAAAUGCCCCCCUCCCAAGAGCUCCCAGCUUCUUUCCUCUGUGCAUCCCUCUGAAGUCAGCGAAACCUUCAAACCUCAGAAACCUUUGAACAGCUUCUGGGAGAAAAAAAAAAGAAAAAAAGAAAAGAUAAUGAGGCAAAAGUGAGAGACACCGGCAAGAAAGCCAAGAGCUUCCUGGAGCCCAAACAACCAAUGUCAAACUCCCCUCCAUCCAGACAGGUCAUAGGAUUGCUGGGACCAUCUGGGACCACCAUUACUGAAUGCAAGGACAUGGAAUACUUUACCCAAUCCCUUGCUCUUGAAAUUGGGGCGAGAUCUACUUACCCCAAUUCCUACCUACUGAUCUUGUACGGGGCUACAGCAGGUUCUGUUGAUUGCUA